ACAACGGGUGGGUGUUAAUAGAUGAGAGAACAAAGAGCCAAACCGCAGCGGAUAGGAGACGGAUCUUGUGGAAGUCCUGUGUUACAGAGAAGAGAAAAAAAGAUGAAGAGAGAUGAAAAAGGCCGAUCCACAGCAGGGGGCCUGAUGGAGGGAGGGUGCCUACCCAAACAGAUAAAAGAAAAUGAUCGCUCUCUGAGCAUCUCCAUGGUUGAAGGAACGUCACUCAGUUCAGUUCAUUCAGAAGUGGUAAUGACGGCUGCAGCAGAAAGAGACGAGUCUCCACCUGAGCAUCUACGGCCCAUCUUUAAUUUUUUUUUAGGGCUUGAAUACUUCAGUAUUUUUAAAAGCAAAUACUCCAACACUUAAACUCAAGAAAUAAUUUGA